rnacentral:tRNA from 1 species
AUGUAGCUCAGUUUAGAGCACUUGCCUAGCACGCACGAGGUCCUGGGUUCAGUACCCAGCAU